CCUUCCACCCCAAACUCAUCUGUGGUUCUGUGAUUCUGUGAUUCUGUGGUUCUGUGGUUCUGUGAUUCUGUGGUUCUGUGAUUCUGUGGUUCUGUGAUUCUGUGAUUCUGUGGUUCUGUGGUUCUGUGGUUCUGUGGUUCUGUGGUUCUGUGGUUCUGUGAUGCAGCACAGCCCCACCGAGCACUGGCAGCCCCUGGGGUUUGUGCCCCCCAGGGCCACAGACCAGGGUCACAAAGCAGGACAGAGUGGCACAGGCCCCUGGGCACGGAGCUCCUGGCAGACAAAAGGCUUGGAAGUGUCUCGCCCAGCCCUCAGAAAGGACGUUUCACAGAUCUGAACACCUGCCAGAGUGCACUGGGAGCUGCUUUCAGGCUGCCUCUGCCCACACUCCAGGGCAUUUUGCAGUGAAACUAAUUCCAGCUGUGGAGAGAUGCUGCUGUAUAAUCCACCAGGAAAGCAAUGGAGGGGCCCGUGCCUGGAACCUGUGCUGAGCUAUGGGAAUGCUGAGUGCUCUGGGUGGGAAAGAGCAUCUUAAUCCAGGGACGGAGGCAAGGAGAGAGGCAGAGGAUCGAUAAAAGGAUAUUACCACUGGGCCAAUCCCAAUAAUAAGAGAGGUGAUAUAUACACACCAUUUAAAUUGUCCAACACAUUUAAUGUUCAUUAACGCUAAUUUUCACGGAGCUGGUGUUUAAUGUAUUAUUGCAAUGAAAUUAAUAAAAAAAUACCCCACAGGAAAUAUAAUUUAACUGUUUAUAAACUUACCUUUUGAUUGCCAAUUUCCUGCCAGGCUCUGCUCCUGCAGCAGCUUUUGCAGGAAGCUGCAGCCACAACAGCCGGGGGCCAGGGCUGGGGGUCCCUGGAGCCCUGCACCCACAGCUCGGGCAUGGCACAGACCCCAGCACCUGGCAGGAAUGUCUGGGACAGCCAGGGGCCUUUGUGCCACUUUCCCUCCUUUUGUCUUCCACCCUUUUUAGCAACCUCCUUCAGAAUCCUCCCUUCUUCUCCUCCUUCAGAACUUCCUCAGCAUCACAUGGAUGAAUGUUCGUUAUCCUUGUGAAAAAUCUUGACUUCAGAUAGGUUUGGUGUAUGGGCAUUUUUCACACAAAAGAGAAAAAAUCACCAUGCAAUAGUUUUGUUAUUCUGCAGUAACUACUGGGGAAUUACAUAUUUAUUUAUCUCUUACGAAGCACAGGGAAAUUGUAUUUGGCCACAGUGUAUAAAUUGUGGCAUAAUUACCGUAAAAUUUAUAGUUUUUAUACUUCCAACAAGUUAGCUUUUAAAUCA